CCACUUAGUGGGUUACGUGGCACAUGGGGCGGACAGCUGAAUUUCGGUGGAGCGGUUUACAUCUAUCCCAAGAGGAAAGAGAGAGCGCCUUGCUUACAUUCUUCUGUUCCCUCAACUUUCACAAUUUCUGCUUCUCCGAUCUUCGCCGUUUGAUUUGCUCUGGUUUUGGCAUUUGUACUUUCGAUUCUGAGGUUGCUGUGGUCCGACUAUUAACUCAACCUUUCUUCAAAAGAUCAACAAACAACACAAAACUAGGGUUAGGGUUUGCUUGCUGUUGUUCAUCUCUCUGCAUUUAAAUGAAGGAGAUGAGUUCUACGACCAAGGGCGGGCGGGGGAAGCCCAAGGCGACCAAGUCCGUGUCCCGGUCCCACAAGGCGGGCUUGCAGUUCCCCGUGGGUCAGAUCGCCCGGUUUCUCAAGGCUGGGAAGUACGCGGAGCGGGUUGGCGCCAGAACCCCGGUCUAUCUCUCUGCUGUCCUUGAGUACCUUGCUGCUGAGGAUAGAGUGAAAUGAGGGAUACAUACUUUCGCUACUUUGCAAACUUUUUAAUUUCCCUAAAUGAAGAGUUGUAACUUGACUUGAUCUUCACUUUCUCGCCAUGCAUGCAUUGCACUUUUACAUGCAAUCAUAAUUGAUUUUGUUGCACGUAAGGAAUGGAAAAUCGUCAAAGAUUACUUCUUUGUUGGCGAAAUGAAGGGCUAAAUAGCACCGGUGAUUCUCUGAGCCGGUCUGGAUUUCCAACGCCUGGGGAAACUGGUUGAGAUAGAUGACAGCACCUUUUUCCCCUCUUCCUUACCGAGAGGGCAAUCUUCUCUUAUGGUCUUUACCUACUGUCCGGUCCAUAUAGUAUUAAUUUAUCGGUAUUUGCUUAAACCUUGUGACACAUACAUUAUAUCUUUUCAAAUUCAUUGAAUUCUUAAUCCUAAGUUUUGUGAUCCAACACCAUGGUUGUCCGUGUUCCAUUUCGCUAGUGGGUGCAUGUGAAGCAUCGGAAUCCUGAAACUCCACAUGGAGGGUUUUAUUGUCUUGGAGGGUUUUAUUGUCUUGAAGGUGACCCGUUGAAAAUAGACCAGGUGAGUCCCUUUCCGUGAUAAAAAGCCCUGGGGAUGGCGUUUAUUCGGGCUCCACUUGCAAACAGGGAGAGAUUGAAGCAGUGGUCAUUGCCACUGGUGUCCAUACCUUCUUUGGCAAGGCUGCUCACCUUGUGGACAGCACAAACCAAGUUGGUCACUUUCGGAAGUUAUGGAGAUUCAAGUAUAAACCACCUUGGGAGCCCGCUUUUGCGCUCCCAACUACCGAGUUUGACGGGAGCCCGCUCCCAUUAAGAUGGGAGCUCGCUCCUUGCAAAGAUAGGAGCUUUUGUAGCUUUAUUAAUUGGGGUCUUUGAUGAACUCAUAUAUCUAGCCCAAGUCAUGAUAUCUUGAACAGUAAAUCAUAUUAUAUUGUAACACUGGCCCAUUUCUUACACUUAUGGAGGACUUGGCCCAUAUUUUUACCUGGCCCAUAUUUUUACUUCCUAUAAUUAAUGAUUGUACU